rnacentral:rRNA from 1 species
GAUGAACGCUGGCGGCGUGCCUAAUACAUGCAAGUCGAGCGAAUGGAUUAAGAGCUUGCUCUUAUGAAGUUAGCGGCGGACGGGUGAGUAACACGUGGGUAACCUGCCCAUAAGACUGGGAUAACUCCGGGAAACCGGGGCUAAUACCGGAUAACAUUUUGAACCGCAUGGUUCGAAAUUGAAAGGCGGCUUCGGCUGUCACUUAUGGAUGGACCCGCGUCGCAUUAGCUAGUUGGUGAGGUAACGGGUCACCAAGGCAACGCUGCGUAGCCGAGCUGAGAGGGAGAUCGGCCACAGUGGGAGUGGAACACGGCGCAGCCGCCUACGGGAGGCAGCGGUAGGGAAGCUUCCGCAAUGGACGAAAGUCUGGCGGAGCAACGCCGCGUGGGUGAUGAAGGCUUUCGGGUCGUAAAACUCUGUUGUUAGGGAAGAACAAGUGCUAGUUGAAUAAGCUGGCACCUUGACGGUACCUAACCAGAAAGCCACGGCUAACUCCGUGCCAGCCGCCGCAGUAA